CACCCACAUUCAGCGGCGUUCGUGCAACUACAAGCAUAAAACGAGCAAAUACCAUUAAAAACGUUCACACAAAUGCACGCAGUCACCGUCCUCAGUAAAGAGAAGGUCUGGCUGGCUGACUGGCUGGCUGGCUGGCGGCUCUUCCUUCCACUUCUCGACUCUCUCGGUGUGUUUUAAUACACAACGAAGAUAUUCCUCUCCAUCCACGUACGAAUUCAGCAUAGCGAGCGAUUUCCACUACGAGAAGUAAACUAGUGAGCGAGUAAGUUAGUGAGUUUAGUUUGUCGGAGUGUAGUGAAUGUGCAGCCAGCAAGCGACCAACCGAACCAAACCAAACGAGAACGAGAACGAGAACGAGAAUCCCAACCAACCGACCGACCAACCUCUACAAUAGUGAACGCACAUUUGCACUCGUGGUAACAACCGCAUAGUCGACUUAACAUGGUUGCCAAGAAGUUUUCAGGAGGAUACAACGUCGUGUGUGGUUUUUAAACAUUUAAAAAAUACAUAAGUCGAUAAACAAACGGAUUGCACGCGCCUUACGUCAGUUUUGUCGUAAGAGAAAACGUGAAAAACCCUACGUUACGCGUUAUUUUACCUGAGAUUAUUCGCCCUUUUUUUUUUUAACAUUUCUUUCCCCCCUCGUUCAUUUCCCGUUUCCGAAUCGUUACCGUUUCACGGGAUACCCACGAGCUUGGAGUAAAAUUUUCAAAAUCUACUGUGCUAAAAAGUGCCCACGAAAUAAAUAUUAAAACGAUAUCUGGUGCGUGUAUGUGCGUCGAAGAAAAUUAAUGGAAUAAUUCCGUACGUUCGUCCAACGAACCAAGAGUUUGUACAUUGAGAAUUUUUCCGUCGUCGUAACAAAAUCGAGUAUAUACAUUUAUAUAUAUAUACGCGUGCAUUACACAAUAAUUAUUAUCGUACAGGUGAAAAGGGAGAAACGAUCGAAUCGAAUAAUUUGGAAAAUUUGUUCGAUGUGAAAAGAGAGAUUAUGAACAAUCGGAAAACGAGACGAAUAAUCAAACUGUAUGUGAUCAAGUGCAAUAAUAUAACCUAGCCGAGGAUAUAAAUGUAAAAACUAUACGUACACCGUGUACAUACGUAUGUAUAUGUGAACGUAUGUGAAGGAAUAAAAAUACGAAGAAGACGAAGAAGAAGAAGAAGAAGAAGAAGAAGAAAAAGACGAAGAAGAGUACACCCCGUGCGUUUGUGUUUGUAACGAAAAAUUUCAUACUUAUGUACAUGUAAAUGUAAUACGUGAAUUUCCACUACUAUGAUAUUUAUGAACCGUUCCCUACGUACCACAUACGUACCAUACGUAUUUUACUCUACGGAACGUGAACGUAUACUGGUUAAUAUUCAGAAGAAAAAAAAAAAGACCAACAGCAACAACGACAAAAAUACCGACAACAUCGCCGAGGAACCGAUGCACAUCGGUAGCUGAAAAAAAGAAAAAAAUCACAGUAAAUAAAAUAUAAAUAACAACAAAAAGAAAUCAGAGAUAUACAAACGUGCAGUGCUUGUGUAACGUGCAUUACAACUACGCAUGCAGAAAGAAAUACAACAGAAAAGCAGCCAACUACAUUACCAAAUUUUGCGUGCGUUACAAGUGCUGUAACAAGUAAUAUCUCGGCGUUUGUGUCGGUGAGCUUUUUUUUCCAUCACUUUUUUCCUUUCGUAUGUUCGUGGUGGUAGAAGUGCAGAACUACGUUGUGGAACACACGACGGGUUCUCUUCGCAGAUCUUGUAGGCGUUGUGACGAGGUUAUCUGUCCAGUUAGUCGCUGUUGCUGCUGCUGCUGCUGCUACGAACCGAGGGACGACUUCGGGGUUCUUUUUUCCUCUUCAUUUUUUCGUUCCUCUCGUUUCAACGGAGAGAAAGAGAGAGUUUUUCCAUAAGAUCGGAGAACCACCGCCGCUUCUUCUACGUACUCGUUAUAUUAUCAUUAUCAUCGUGCUGCUGGUGUCGAAGAACAAAUUAACAAAACGAAAGAAAAAAAUCCUUCGUGGCAAGUCACCGAUCUCAAUCGACUGCACGGGGCGACGCGAGUAGUACGUGCGUAUAAAAUAAUUAAAAUUAAAUAAAACGUCAUCUUUUCUCGUCGUCGACAAAAAAUAUUGUCUAAAACAGAAGAAAAGUGUCAAUCGAACCGAGAGCCACUUCCUCCGAUAACGUUAUUGACGAUGAUAACAGUAAUAAUAACAACCCUUCGAAAAGGAUUCACCUAAACUGUACCUUUAAACAUUUCGCGUGUGUGUGAACGGACACCUUUUUUUACGGAAUAUAAAUUUCACUCUCUUGCUCGCCGAGCCGAAUUGAGAAA
rnacentral:lncRNA from 1 species